rnacentral:rRNA from 1 species
UACGAAGGGGGCUAGCGUUGUUCGGAUUUACUGGGCGUAAAGCGCACGUAGGCGGUUUGGUCAGUUAGGGGUGAAAUCCUGGAGCUCAACUCCAGAACUGCCUUUAAUACUGCCAGUCUCGAGUCCGGAAGAGGUAAGUGGAACUCCUAGUGUAGAGGUGGAAUUCGUAGAUAUUAGGAAGAACACCAGUGGCGAAGGCGGCUUACUGGUCCGGUACUGACGCUGAGGUGCGAAAGCGUGGGGAGCAAACAGG